UUGAUCUUGUCCAUUACUCCUUGGUUCUCCUCUUCCUCUGUUUUCACAUCACCUUCAACGAUCUUUUUCUUCUCCUUCUUCUUCUUUCUCUUCUCACCGUCUUCACCUUCUUCAUCACUUGACUGUUGAAUAUUCAGAAUUUCAAAACCAUGAGUUUGUUUCAAGAUUUAACCAAAAAAACUAUAAACGAAUCAAACUUUUACUUACAGAGGAAGAAGAGCUGUUGGAACGGUGGAGUUUGUCGAGGAGACCAUGCUUGUUUUCUUCUUCCUCCUCGUGUUUCUGGUGAAGCUUCUCAAGGAGAGUAGGCUUAUGUUCCUUCAGUUCCUCGUCUUCGUGCUUGGCCACAGACGGCUCUGGUUCAGAGAUCUGAGUCUUGUGCUCGAACUCAGAUGCGAGAGUUGUCGUUUCUUGAG
rnacentral:lncRNA from 1 species